AAUUUCUCAUUCUCACCCCUUUUUAAUUAAAUUUCUCAUUUAUUUUCCUAUAUAAACUUUAGCACUACUACAUUUUAUCACGUUUUGUUCCAUUAAUUUAUACAAUUGCGCAGUUUGAUAUGAUCAUUUCCGGUUCUGCCCAAAGUUUGUCGCCAUCUACAAUAGAGAUGCUACCUUUUUUCUAAACACAAAUCGAGCCAUAAAACACGUGGAUAACUCAGAAAAGCCCUAAUAUAAUCAUUUAACAUAUAUUUUAUGCAUCCUUAUAGAAAAAAGUAGGUUUUCAUUCAUUAAGUAUUUUGUAUCCAGUAUUACAGUCAUUUUGUCAUUUUUAUCACAAAAGCCUUGAAUACUGAUCCUUUUUAAGGAUAAUAAUAUUACCUUCGAUAUCCGUUUGAGUAUUAAUUCAAGGACUUAAAGUAUACCUUGCCCAAGGAUUCAUAUAAAUUAGUCCAAAUACCUCAUAUUAAUAUAUUUAUCUACAUGUUUGACUUCAUAUUCAUGAUAAAAUAAGCCUAAAAUACUUGAUAAACCAUGGCUCCAAUAUCAGCUAUUGUUUUUUUAUGAUUAAAUUGUGUUCAAAAUCUGUAAUUGUGGAGUGAGUCUUCACUUAUUAAAGAUUUUAUAUUGUAAAGCAAAAAAAAACUGUUACUAAUAUAGUAAAUUAAUAUUAGAGGUGGGGGCAUGGACUUGACAAAAAUAUUCAAGGGCUCUAGUCGUGCUCGAUUAAAUUAAUCAAGGACUUGAAUUCCAGAGUAAGGACUUUUCCUAACUCUGAUUAAUACUCAAAAUUGAGAUCAUAGAGUUACUUUCCAUAUAAAUGUAUAACGUGUCAUUUUCAUCAUAUUAUCUUUAAAUAGUAAAAUGAUUCAUUGUCAAAAUGUGACACGCUCAAUCCACCAAGAGCUGUUAGAGCUAUGAAAUUGCAUGGUUUUAUCAUAAAUCAAUAUUAGAUCUCCCGCGUUUUACAGAAACAAAAUCACCAUUUCUUUACAUGUGUAUCGUAUUACAACGACACACGAGUACGUAGAUUUUUUGUUAGUCAUAGUUUUUUGAGUUGUCUACAUUAAUUAUAAUUUCAUAAGCAUUGGAGGGACUAUCUACGUAUAAUAUCUUGACAAACUGGAUGCAGAAAUGACAACAAAACGUUUUAUUUGUAAAUCUAUAUCUUUAACCAAAUCAAUGUGUUGUCCCACAAAUUAGAAGUUGUUAUAGCCCGAAACCCAAUAACUAUAGUAAAAAUUGCGCCUGGAAGAUCGAUAUUUUCGUCAAAUGAAGAUACUAUCCACACAUUUAUCAACAAUGCUGCCUAUUUCAGGGCCCUUGGAAUAAAAGGCACCUCCAAUAAUGCAAACAAUUCACUAUUUCAGAUAAAAUAUUGGGUUUUUAUAUUCUAUACCCCUUCAGGAAUGAGUAUUGUUCCUCCACUGUAGAAGGGGGGAGUUUCCACAUUUAUCCUACGUGUUAUUAAACGUUAAUAACGUG
rnacentral:lncRNA from 1 species